AGUUUGAUCCUGGCUCAGGAUGAACGCUAGCGGCAGGCCUAAUACAUGCAAGUCGAACGGAUAUAUGUUUUUCGGAAUAUAUAUUAGUGGCGCACGGGUGUGUAACACGUACAUAACUUGCCCUCAAGCGGGGGAUAGCCUUGGGAAACUGAGAGUAAUACCCCAUAGAAUUAUUGGACGGCAUCGUUUGAUAAUUAAAACUACGGUGCUUGGGGAUAGAUGUGCGUCUGAUUAGCUAGUUGGUGAGGUAACUGCUCACCAAGGCGACGAUCAGUAGGGGGCGUGAGAGCGUGGCCCCCCACACGGGUACUGAGACACGGACCCGACUCCUACGGGAGGCAGCAGUAAGGAAUAUUGGUCAAUGGAGGGAACUCUGAACCAGCCAUGCCGCGUGAAGGAUGACGGCCCUCUGGGUUGUAAACUUCUUUUGGAUGGGGCGAAAAAACGGGAUUUAUCCUGGACUGACGGUACCAUCAGAAUAAGCACCGGCUAACUCCGUG
rnacentral:rRNA from 1 species